GUGAAUCAUCGAAUCUUUGAACGCAUAUUGCACUCUCUGGUAUUCCGGAGAGUAUGCCGGUUUGAGGGUAAGUAAAAAUAAUCUUUAACCAAUUUUUUUUGGUCAAAGGAGAUGAGCUCUCCUCGUUUAUAGCGGUAGCUGGAAAUAAAUGGUCAAGUCUCAUUUGAUUCGAGACGCGUAAUAAUAUUAUUUCGCGAGAUCUUCAUUAUUUGAG
rnacentral:misc_RNA from 1 species